rnacentral:rRNA from 1 species
CCGGAGGCAGCAGUGAGGAAUAUUGGACAAUGGGCGAAAGCCUGAUCCAGCAAUGCCGCGUGGGUGAAGAAGGUCUUCGGAUUGUAAAGCCCUUUCGACGGGGACGAUGAUGACGGUACCCGUAGAAGAAGCCCCGGCUAACUUCGUGCCAGCAGCCGCGGUAAUACGAAGGGGGCUAGCGUUGCUCGGAUUGACUGGGCGUAAAGGGCGCGUAGGCGGUUCGUACAGUCAGACGUGAAAUUCCUGGGCUCAACCUGGGGGCUGCGUUUGAUACGUGCGGACUUGAGUGCGGAAGAGGGUCGUGGAAUUCCCAGUGUAGAGGUGAAAUUCGUAGAUAUUGGGAAGAACACCGGUGGCGAAGGCGGCGACCUGGUCCGAUACUGACGCUGAGGCGCGAAAGCGUGGGGAGCAAACAGGAUUAGAUACCCUGGUAGU